rnacentral:rRNA from 1 species
GAGCGAAUGGAUUAAGAGCUUGCUCUUAUGAAGUUAGCGGCGGACGGGUGAGUAACACGUGGGUAACCUGCCCAUAAGACUGGGAUAACUCCGGGAAACCGGGGCUAAUACCGGAUAACAUUUUGAACCGCAUGGUUCGAAAUUGAAAGGCGGCUUCGGCUGUCACUUAUGGAUGGACCCGCGUCGCAUUAGCUAGUUGGUGAGGUAACGGCUCACCAAGGCAACGAUGCGUAGCCGACCUGAGAGGGUGAUCGGCCACACUGGGACUGAGACACGGCCCAGACUCCUACGGGAGGCAGCAGUAGGGAAUCUUCCGCAAUGGACGAAAGUCUGACGGAGCAACGCCGCGUGAGUGAUGAAGGCUUUCGGGUCGUAAAACUCUGUUGUUAGGGAAGAACAAGUGCUAGUUGAAUAAGCUGGCACCUUGACGGUACCUAACCAGAAAGCCACGGCUAACUACGUGCCAGCAGCCGCGGUAAUACGUAGGUGGCAAGCGUUAUCCGGAAUUAUUGGGCGUAAAGCGCGCGCAGGUGGUUUCUUAAGUCUGAUGUGAAAGCCCACGGCUCAACCGUGGAGGGUCAUUGGAAACUGGGAGAC